rnacentral:ncRNA from 4 species
ACUGAACGCCUCUAAGUCAGAAUCC